AUUGAACGCUGGCGGCAGGCCUGACACAUGCAAGUCGAGCGGACGAGGAGAGCUUGCUCUCUGAUUCAGCGGCGGACGGGUGAGUAAUGCCUAGGAAUCUGCCUGGUAGUGGGGGACAACGCUUCGAAAGGAACGCUAAUACCGCAUACGUCCUACGGGAGAAAGUGGGGGAUCUUCGGACCUCACGCUAUCAGAUGAGCCUAGGUACGAUUAGCUAGGUGGUGAGGUAAAGGCUCACCAAGGCGACGAUCGUUAACUGGUCUGAGAGGAUGAUCAGUCACACUGGAACUGAGACACGGUCCAGACUCCUACGGGAGGCAGCAGUGGGGAAUAUUGGACAAUGGGCGAAAGCCUGAUCCAGCCAUGCCGCGUGUGUGAAGAAGGUCUUCGGAUUGUAAAGCACUUUAAGUUGGGAGGAAGGACAGUAAGUUAAUACCUUGCUGUUUUGACGUUACCGACAGAAUAAGCACCGGCUAACUUCGUGCCAGCCGCCGCGGUAAUAC
rnacentral:rRNA from 1 species